UGGGGAAUAUUGCACAAUGGGGGAAACCCGUAGAUGCAGCGACGCCGCGUGAGUGAUGAAGUAUUUCGGUAUGUAAAACUACUAUCAGCAGGGAAGAUAAUGACGGUACCUGACUAAGAAGCACCGGCUAAAUACGUGCCAGCAGCCGCGGUAAUACGUAUGGUGCAAGCGUUAUCCGGAUUUACUGGGUGUAAAGGGUGCGUAGGUGGUAUGGCAAGUCAGAAGUGAAAACACGGGGCUCAACCCCGUGACUGCUUUUGAAACUGUCAAACUAGAGUACAGGAGAGGAAAGCGGAAUUCCUAGUGUAGCGGUGAAAUGCGUAGAUAUUAGGAGGAACACCAGUGGCGAAGGCGGCUUUCUGGACUGAAACUGACACUGAGGCACGAAAGCGUGGGGAGGCAAACAGGAUUAGAUACCCUGGUAGU
rnacentral:rRNA from 1 species